CCUACGGGGGGCUGCAGUGGGGAAUAUUGGACAAUGGGGGAAACCCUGAUCCAGCAAUGCCGCGUGAGUGAUGAAGGUCUUCGGAUUGUAAAGCUCUUUUGGCAGGGACGAUGAUGACGGUACCUGCAGAAUAAGCUCCGGCUAACUUCGUGCCAGCAGCCGCGGUAAUACGAAGGGAGCAAGCGUUGUUCGGAUUUACUGGGCGUAAAGGGUGUGUAGGCGGUUUUGCAAGUUGGAUGUGAAAGCCCCGGGCUUAACUCGGGAAUAGCAUUCAA
rnacentral:rRNA from 1 species